UGGGGAAUCUUCCGCAAUGGACGAAAGUCUGACGGAGCAACGCCGCGUGAGUGAUGAAGGCCUUCGGGUUGUAAAACUCUGUUGUCAGGGACGAAAGCACCGAUCUAUAAUACAUUUUGGUGUUGACGGUACCUGACGAGGAAGCCACGGCUAACUACGUGCCAGCAGCCGCGGUAAUACGUAGGUGGCAAGCGUUGUCCGGAAUUAUUGGGCGUAAAGAGCAUGUAGGCGGGCUUUUAAGUCCGACGUGAAAAUGCGGGGCUUAACCCCGUAUGGCGUUGGAUACUGGAAGUCUUGAGUGCAGGAGAGGAAAGGGGAAUUCCCAGUGUAGCGGUGAAAUGCGUAGAUAUUGGGAGGAACACCAGUGGCGAAGGCGCCUUUCUGGACUGUGUCUGACGCUGAGAUGCGAAAGCCAGGGUAGCAAACGGGAUUAGAUACCCUGGUAG
rnacentral:rRNA from 1 species